rnacentral:rRNA from 1 species
GACGAACGCUGGCGGCGUGCCUAAUACAUGCAAGUCGAACGCAGUGGGGACGGGUGAGUAACACGUGGGUAACCUCCCAUCAGAGGGGAUAACACUUGGAAACAGGUGCUAAACCGAUACUGAUGGAUGGACCCGCGGUGCAUUAGCUAGUUGGUGAGGUAACGGCUCACCAAGGCCACGAUGAAUAGCCGCCCUGAGAGGGUGACCGGCCAAAAGGGGACUGAGACACGGCCCAGACUCCGACGGGAGGCAGCAGUGGGGAAGCUGCGGAAAUGGACGAAAGUCUGACCGACCAACGCCGCGGGAGUGAAGAAGGUUUUCGGAGCGUAAAACUCUGUUGUUAGAGAAGCGGUAUCUAACCAGAAAGCCACGGCUAACUACGUGCCAGCCGCCGCGGUAAUUC